UGGGCUCUGCAGAUGGACCUCUCUCC
rnacentral:piRNA from 1 species